CGGAGGGUGCAAGCGUUAUCCGGAUUCACUGGGUUUAAAGGGUGCGUAGGUGGAUUGGUAAGUCCGUGGUGAAAUCCCCGAGCUUAACUCGGGAACUGCCGUGGAUACUAUCAAUCUUGAAUACUGUGGAGGUAAGCGGAAUAUGUCAUGUAGCGGUGAAAUGCUUAGAUAUGACAUAGAACACCGAUAGCGAAGGCAGCUUGCUACACAGUCAUUGACACUGAGGCACGAAAGCGUGGGGAGCAAACAGGAUUAGAUACCCUGGUAGUCCACGCCCUAAACGAUGAUUACUCGACAUACGCGAUACACUGUGUGUGUCUGAGCGAAAGCAUUAAGUAAUCCACUGGGAAGUACGACCGCAAGGUUG
rnacentral:rRNA from 1 species